GGCAUCAUGAGUCCGCAUGUUCACAGAUUAAAGGUAUUCCGGUAGACGAUGGGGAUGCGUUCCAUUAGAUAGUAGGCGGGGUAACGGCCCACCUAGUCUUCGAUGGAUAGGGGUUCUGAGAGGAAGGUCCCCCACAUUGGAACUGAGACACGGUCCAAACUCCUACGGGAGGCAGCAGUGAGGAAUAUUGGUCCAAUGGGCGAGAGCCUGAACCAGCCAAGUAGCGUGAAGGAUGACUGCCCUAUGGGUUGUAAACUUCUUUUAUAAAGGAAUAAAGUCGGGUAUGCAUACCCGUUUGCAUGUACUUUAUGAAUAAGGAUCGGCUAACUCCGUGCCAGCAGCCGCGGUAAUACGGAGGAUCCGAGCGUUAUCCGGAUUUAUUGGGUUUAAAGGGAGCGUAGAUGGAUGUUUAAGUCAGUUGUGAAAGUUUGCGGCUCAACCGUAAAAUUGCAGUUGAUACUGGAUAUCUUGAGUGCAGUUGAGGCAGGCGGAAUUCGUGGUGUAGCGGUGAAAUGCUUAGAUAUCACGAAGAACUCCGAUUGCGAAGGCAGCCUGCUAAGCUGCAACUGACAUUGAGGCUCGAAAGUGUGGGUAUCAAACAGGAUUAGAUACCCUGGUAGUCCACACGGUAAACGAUGAAUACUCGCUGUUUGCGAUAUACGGCAAGCGGCCAAGCGAAAGCGUUAAGUAUUCCACCUGGGGAGUAC
rnacentral:rRNA from 1 species